UACGUAGGGGGCAAGCGUUGUCCGGAUUUAUUGGGCGUAAAGAGCGUGUAGGCGGCCAGGUAGGUCCGUUGUGAAAACUCGAGGCUUAACCUCGAGACGUCGAUGGAAACCAUCUGGCUAGAGUCCGGAAGAGGAGAGUGGAAUUCCUGGUGUAGCGGUGAAAUGCGCAGAUAUCAGGAGGAACACCGGUGGCGAAGGCGGCAUUCUGGACCGAUAUUGACGCUGAGGAGCGAAAGCCAGGGGAGCAAACGGG
rnacentral:rRNA from 1 species